GCUUUUACUACAGUUAAAUAAAAAAAAUAAAAAAGUUGACUGACAAAACUAGGCCUUGUUUACUUCUAACCCAAACUUAAAAUUUUUCAAAAUUCUCCAUCACACCGAAUCUUUAGACGCAUGCAUGAAGUAUUAAAUAUAGACAAAAAUAAUAACUAAUUUCACAGUUUAAUCAAAAUUUACGAGAUGAAUCUUUUAAGUCUAGUUAGUUUAUGGUUGGACAAUAAUUAUCACAAAC
rnacentral:lncRNA from 1 species